AAUCCAUGUUGUCGGCAUUGUCGAAGUAAACCCUUGUAUCGUUCCCAAGCCUCUGAAUACAAUUUUGAGUUCAUUUGCUGAAAAAGUAGUAAUAUCGUCCCUUAGCUU
rnacentral:snoRNA from 1 species